rnacentral:rRNA from 1 species
CCUACGGGCGGCAGCAGUAGGGAAUAUUGCUCAAUGGGGGAAACCCUGAAGCAGCAACGCCGCGUGGAGGAUGAAGGUUUUCGGAUUGUAAACUCCUUUUGUUAGAGAAGAUAAUGACGGUAUCUAACGAAUAAGCACCGGCUAACUCCGUGCCAGCAGCCGCGGUAAUACGGAGGGUGCAAGCGUUACUCGGAAUCACUGGGCGUAAAGAGCGCGUAGGCGGGUUAGCAAGUCAGAUGUGAAAUCCUAUGGCUUAACCAUAGAACUGCAUUUGAAACUGUUAGUCUAGAGUAUGGGAGAGGUAGGUGGAAUUCUUGGUGUAGGGGUAAAAUGCGUAGAGAUCAAGAGGAAUACUCAUUGCGAAGGCGACCUGCUAGAACAUAACUGACGCUGAUGCGCGAAAGCGUGGGGAGCAAACAGGAUUAGAUACCCUUGUAGUC